rnacentral:rRNA from 1 species
UACGGGGGGAGCAAGCGUUGUUCGGAUUUACUGGGCGUAAAGGGCGCGUAGGCGGCCACAACAAGUCACUUGUGAAAUCUCCGGGCUUAACUCGGAAAGGUCAAGUGAUAUUGUCGGGCUAGAGUGCAGAAGGGGCAACUGGAAUUCUCGGUGUAGCGGUGAAAUGCGUAGAUAUCGAGAGGAACACCUGCGGCGAAGGCGACUUCCUGGACCAAUACUGACGCUCAGGUGCGAAAGCGUGGGGAGCAAACAGG